rnacentral:tmRNA from 1 species
GGGGCCGAUCGGUUUCGACGGUGAUCUGUUCGCUUCGGUGAAGCGUGCCGAGAAUGCAGAGUCCACUCGUGAUGUUCUCUGUGAACAAAAUAAGUGCUAAAUCUAAUCGCACUGAGUUCGCUCUCGCUGCCUGAUUUGUAGUCAGGACUUAACCAGCGAGCAGCCGCUCCGUUCACUCUCCCGUGUCUUCGGGGAGAUGCUGAGCGUCGUUGAGAAGACUUGCCUGUGUCAUUGCACUGCAGGGUGACACAGGGACUUUUACUGUAGCUAGGCUCGCCAUCUGUUGUCUGCGAUAUUGAUGGGAGCUGAAAAAUCGCCCUCUGUGGCCAGCAGACUACGCACGUAGAAGAACGAGGGUACGGUCACCGGACCGGGGUUCAAUUCCCCGCGGCUCCACUU